rnacentral:rRNA from 1 species
GAUGAACGCUGGCGGCGUGCCUAAUACAUGCAAGUCGAGCGAACAGACGAGGAGCUUGCUCCUCUGACGUUAGCGGCGGACGGGUGAGUAACACGUGGAUAACCUACCUAUAAGACUGGGAUAACUUCGGGAAACCGGAGCUAAUACCGGAUAAUAUAUUGAACCGCAUGGUUCAAUAGUGAAAGACGGUUUUGCUGUCACUUAUAGAUGGAUCCGCGCCGCAUUAGCUAGUUGGUAAGGUAACGGCUUACCAAGGCAACGAUGCGUAGCCGACCUGAGAGGGUGAUCGGCCACACUGGAACUGAGACACGGUCCAGACUCCUACGGGAGGCAGCAGUAGGGAAUCUGCCGCAAUGGGCGAAAGCCUGACGGAGCAACGCCGCGUGAGUGAUGAAGGUCUUCGGAUCGUAAAACUCUGUUAUUAGGGAAGAACAAAUGUGUAAGUAACUAUGCACGUCUUGACGGUACCUAGUCAGAAAGCCACGGCUAACUACGUG